rnacentral:rRNA from 1 species
CCUACGUGGGGCAGCAGUGAGGAAUAUUGGGCAAUGGGGGCAACCCUGACCCAGCCAUGCCGCGUGAGUGAAGAAGGUCUUCGGAUUGUAAAGCUCUUUCGGACGUGACGAUGAUGACGGUAGCGUCUAAAGAAGCACCGGCAAACUUCGUGCCAGCAGCCGCGGUAAUACGAAGGGUGCGAGCGUUGUUCGGAAUUACUGGGUUUAAAGGGUGCGCAGGCGGCCUGUUAAGUCAGCGGUAAAAGCCCGGGGCUCAACCCCGGCGAGCCGUUGAAACUGGCGGGCUGGAGUUGGAGAGAAGUAUGCGGAAUGCGCGGUGUAGCGGUGAAAUGCAUAGAUAUCGCGCAGAACUCCGAUUGCGAAGGCAGCAUGCCGGCUCCACACUGACGCUGAGGCACGAAAGCGUGGGUAUCGAACAGGAUUAGAUACCCGUGUAGUC